rnacentral:misc_RNA from 1 species
GAAAUGCGAUAAGUAAUGUGAAUUGCAGAAUUCAGUGAAUCAUCGAAUCUUUGAACGCACCUUGCGCUCCUUGGCAUUCCGAGGAGCAUGCCUGUUUGAGUGUCGUCGAACCCUCACAGCCCCAAGUGGUGUACUUUUGGCGUGGAUUGGUGGAGGCCUUGCAGGUGGUGGGGAUUCCGGAUGGUGGGAGUCCCCCCCCCUCCCCUGCUCCUCUGAAAUGCAUUUGCACAACAACAUCUGGCGGCGCACCUUCCCGGAACAAGGGGAAGUUAGCUGCCGAUCGAUGCGACGCACGGGGGGCACCCACGGUGGGUAUGAUACGAGUCUUACCUGGCGCGGUGCCCGUCGACGCACACAUUUGACCUCAAAUCAGGCAGGACUACCCGCUGAACUUAA